UACGAAGGGGACUAGCGUUGUUCGGAUUUACUGGGCGUAAAGCGCGCGUAGGCGGAUCGCUAAGUCAGGGGUGAAAUCCCAGGGCUCAACCCUGGAACUGCCUUUGAUACUGACGGUCUGGAGAUCGGGAGAGGUUGGUGGAAUUCCGAGUGUAGAGGUGAAAUUCGUAGAUAUUCGGAGGAACACCAGAAGCGAAGGCGGCCAACUGGCCCGAUACUGACGCUGAGGUGCGAAAGCGUGGGGAGCAAACAGG
rnacentral:rRNA from 1 species